CUCAUGAAGGCGGUGUUGCUACCAGUACUUCUGUACAUUGCACUGGUCUUCCCCCCUCCAAAGCAUAUCAUCCACAGAAUCCAGAAAGCCAUGUGCAUUUUUUUUCUAGGGAUCCAGAAUGGAGAAGGUGGUAAGAAAGAACCUAUACAAAAAAAUAGACCAGGAGCAAGGGAAUGCCAGACAUCCACCUUUUCCUGCAGGCAUCGUACGCGAGCCAGAUCUGCAAGCUGGCGACCAGGCCAGUGAAGAAAACAACCUGUCUUGUCAAGUAUUUUGCAGGUCACCUCCUGAAACUGGGGGUGGUGUAUGCACCAGCCAAAGGGAGACUGUGUACCAUGGAAUACCCCUGGUUCUACAGUGUGCUAAUCAAGUUCUGGAGUGAGUACAGGCUACAGAAAGAAAGCUCAGCAACUAUGACCAACCACAGAAAGAUUCAGAAGGAAGUCAGAGAGAGACAGGCUAUCGACCAUGGAGCUGCUCCCCGAAGAUGACUGCCAAGCCUGAGGACAUGGAGAUACAGAGAGGGGCAAGGGACUAACCCCAGCUGCUCCAGGGAAAGCUGCCAAGAUGAAAGCAAAAUCAUUGACCACCUCCUAUGCCAAAGGAGUAUGGAAAAAGGUAAGCUGGCUCCGUGAAGAGGUGACAGGGGUCAGGCUGUUGACAAAGGAGGCAGUACUGUAUGGCCAUCUGACUAAACAGUAGAGGUCCCUGACAACCCGUUUCAACGAGUUUGUGUCCUGCAUCAGGAGUUCCCUGUGGCAGUGCAGCAGCCUUCUGAUGUACAAACACACCGAGCUCAAGGAAACCGAGUGUGUUA